AUAAGCGGAGGAAAAGAAACCAACAGGGAUUGCCUUAGUAACGGCGAGUGAAGCGGCAACAGCUCAAAUUUGAAAUCUGGCCCUUGGGUCCGAAUUGUAAUUUGUAGAGGAUGAUUUUGGUGCGGUAUCUUCCGAGUUCCUUGGAACAGGACGCCUUAGAGGGUGAGAGCCCCGUACGGUUGAAUGCCUAGCCUCUGUAAAUCUCCUUCGACGAGUCGAGUAGUUUGGGAAUGCUGCUCUAAAUGGGAGGUAAAUUUCUUCUAAAGCUAAAUAUUGGCCAGAGACCGAUAGCGCACAAGUAGAGUGAUCGAAAGAUGAAAAGCACUUUGAAAAGAGGGUUAAAUAGCACGUGAAAUUGUUGAAAGGGAAGGAUUUGUGACCAGACUUUUUCUGGGCGGAUCAUCCGGGGUUCUCUCCGGUGCACUUCGCCCAGUAAAGGCCAGCAUCGGUUUUCGGCGUGGGAUAAAAGCAGUAGGAAUGUGGCUCUCUACGGGGAGUGUUAUAGCCUAUUGUAUAAUACCGCGCUGGGGACCGAGGU
rnacentral:rRNA from 1 species